UACCAGCACCCCGAGUGGUCGGGACGAUUAUUGAGCCUAAAGCAUCCGUAGCCGGUUCUACAAGUCUUCCGUUAAAUCCACCUGCUUAACAGAUGGGCUGCGGAGGAUACUAUAGAGCUAGGAGGCGGGAGAGGCAAGCGGUACUUAGUGGGUAGGGGUAAAAUCCGUUGAUCCAUUGAAGACCACCAGUGGCGAAGGCGGCUUGCCAGAACGCACUCGACGGUGAGGGAUGAAAGCUGGGGGAGCAAACCGG
rnacentral:rRNA from 1 species